rnacentral:rRNA from 1 species
GACGAACACCGGCGGCGUGCUAAUACAUGCAAUCGAGCGCAGUUUUUCUGGUGCUUGCACUAGAAAAACUUAGCGGCGAAAGGGUGAGUAACACGUAAAGAACCUGCCUCAUAGACGGGGACAACUAUCGGAAAACGAUAGCUAAUACCGGAUAACAGCAUAAAUCGCAUGAUAUAUGUUUAAAAGUUGGUUUUGGCUAACACUAUGAGAUGGCUUUGCGGUGCAUUAGCUAGUUGGUGGGGUAAAGGCCUACCAGGCGACGAUGCAUAGCCGACCUGAGAGGGUGAUCGGCCACACUGGGACUGAGACACGGCCCAGACUCCUACGGGAGGCAGCAGUAGGGAAUCUUCCGCAAUGGGCGAAAGCCUGACGGAGCAACGCCGCGUGAGUGAAGAAGGAUAUCGGUUCGUAAAGCUCUGUUGUUAGGGAAGAAUGAUUGUAUAGUAACUAUAUACAGUAGAGACGGUACCUAACCAGAAAGCCACGGCUAACUACGUGCCAGCAGCCGCGGUAAUACGUAGGUGGCAAGCGUUGUCCGGAAUUAUUGGGCGUAAAGCGCGCGCAGGUGGUUUAAUAAGUCUGAUGUGAAAGCCCACGGCUCAACCGUGGAGGGUCAUUGGAAACUGUUAAACUUGGGUGCAGGAGAGAAAAGUGGAAUUCCUAGUGUAGCGGUGAAAUGCGUAGAGAUUAGGAGGAACACCAGUGGCGAAGGCGGCUUUUUGGCCUGUAACUGACACUGAGGCGCGAAAGCGUGGGGAGCAAACAGG